rnacentral:lncRNA from 1 species
GGUUACGCAUCUGGACUCUCUUCCAAUGGGAAGACCGGAUCAGAACAGUCAGUUAGCAAAGAAUGUGCAAUUCUAAACUCAUCUGGAGCACUUGUGUUGAUGUGUAAUGUGAGUUAAACUUACAUUGAAAGUAAAAGUAUAUAUUGAGAAACAUGAAUGUGAAAUGGCCAAUAUACAACAGAUUUUGAGUGAAGAUGUGUCAAUCUCAUUUUUGGGGUUUCUCUUGGUGGAACAUUAGCAUAUGUUUUCAUUGUAUGGCAUAAAUUAUGUCCUAAAGUAGUGCUUAUGCUACAAUCAAAAUGCAUGAAAAUAAUAACCUAGCGAACAAAGCCAACAUUGUAAGACAACAAAUAAACAUAUAACUAUCAAUUGAUAAAAUUGAACAAACAAGUGUCAGAUUACAAAUUUUCAGCACCUGCACUGCAGUAUCAGACAGGGAUAACUGUAAAAAUUUAUUCUCAUCAUCCACAUAAUUGCUUAAUUCAUAAAAAUAAAUUUAUUACUCAAAAACAGUUAACAAAGACCAGUUGUUGAAAAUGAAUUUUAGUAGCCUCAGACCGUCCUAGUUCAAAGUUUUCAACAAAUGCAAUAUCUUGCAUUUCUGAACCAUAUACAAAGUAUGCAUCAUAGACUACAUUGUAACAGAAAUAAUAAAUUUACAUUAUUAAAAAUACAAUUGCAGAAACAUUUGAAGAAAAAUAUUAAAAAAAAUAAUACGAAAUGGGUGUACAAAAUUAAUGUUUCAAGGCAUCAGAUCUUCCUAUUCAAAUAAAAUAUUCACAGAACUCAAAUCAGUGUUUAAGUCUCAAUGAUUUGAAAGAUUCAUCAUUUGGCCAAUUAAAAUAAAAAAUAAAAAACACAAAUGAUUAAAUGUAAUAAUACUGCUCAGAAAGUAGCAAAUUAUAUCACAAUAAAACUUCAUAUGUCCAGACAUAAUUGGUGCAACAUCAUCAUAGCAGUAUCAAUACAAUUUCACUAAAACAUUUCAAAACACAGAAUGAAUCAUAUAGAAAUAAAAUUCAUAACUGAAUUGAAUUGAAUCUCAGACAUUCCAAAGUUGGAAAUGGCAGACAAUCAACAUGGCAUCAUUUCAGUCCGCCCGUCUGCUUUUCAACAUCAUUGAUC